rfam:Zea mays cultivar B73 chromosome 2, whole genome shotgun sequence.
AUUGUUGAUGAUGAAGAACUCGUCUUGUACAUUCUGACGGGACUUGAUGAAGAGUAUAACGCGACGGUCUCCGCUCUAGUGGCUCGUGUUGAGCAUGUCACCUUAGCUAAAGCCACCUCCUAGCUUCACAGUUUCGAUG